rnacentral:tRNA from 1 species
CCCCCGGUAGCUCAGCCGGAUAGAGCGCCACACUCACGAUGUUGGAGGUCGCGGGUUCGAGUCUCGCCCGGGGGA